rnacentral:sRNA from 1 species
UUUCACUUCUAUAUUUAAUGCUGUCUUCGAUAUACAAUAUUUGAAAUAUUUUCUUAAAACGUAAUGCUUAAAAAUGGAUGGAAUGAUAUAACAUAGUUGUGGAUUCUAGGCGAUAAAAAGCUUUAA